GUCUAUAUACGUAUAGCAUAUCAAUAAGCGGAGGAAAAGAAACUAACUAGGAUUCCCUCAGUAACGGCGAGUGAAGCGGGAAGAGCUCAAAUUUGAAAUCUUCAAGGUUCUACCUUGACGAAUUGUAGUUUAAAGAAGUGUUUUCUGUUGGAGUUUUGGUAAAAGUUCUUUGGAAAUAGGACAUCAUAGAGGGUGAGAAUCCCGUAUUUGACCAUUAUUUCCAACUUUGUGAUACACUUUCAAAGAGUCGGAUUGUUUGGGAAUGCAGUCCAAAAUGGGUGGUAAAUUUCAUCUAAAGCUAAAUACUGGCGAGAGACCGAUAGCGAACAAGUACCGUGAGGGAAAGAUGAAAAGAACUUUGAAAAGAGAGUUAAACAGUACGUGAAAUUGUCAAAAGGGAAGCGUUUGACACCAGUGUUGUUUCCUCGAAAAUCAAUUAAAAAGAUUGGAUUUUGUGUUGUAUUGACUUCAUCAGCUUUCUGCACUCUUUUCUUGUCUUUUUUAAUGCACUUUUCGUUUAACAAGUCAACAUCAAUUUCUUUUGUUGUAAAAGGGUCAUUGGAAGGUGGCUUUCUUUUCGGAGAAAGUGUUUAUAGCCUUUGGCUUCUGCAGUCGGAGAGAUUGAGGUCUGCAGCGUAGAUCCUUCGGGGUUAGAUACAUUUGUGCUAAGUUAUAGCCUUUCAUAGACAACUUGUUGACUAUGAUCAGUCAUGUAGCUUACUCGCUUAUGCUAUUUUACCUACGCUUAGGAUGUUGAUCUGUAGUGCGUGCGC
rnacentral:rRNA from 1 species